rnacentral:rRNA from 1 species
GAUGAACGCUAGCGGCGGGCUUAAUACAUGCAAGUCGAGGGGGCAGCACGAUGUAGCAAUACAUUGGUGGCGACCGGCGGACGGGUGCGUAACACGUAUGCAACUUGCCCUAUACUGGGAGAUAGCCCGAAGAAAUUCGGAUUAAUAUCCCAUAACAUCAGGAUAAGCAUUUGUUCUGGUUGAAAGUUCCGACGGUAUAGGAUGGGCAUGCGGUCGAUUAGCUUGUUGGUGAGGUAACGGCUCACCAAGGCGACGAUCGAUAGGGGGGCCUGAGAGGGUGAUCCCCCACACUGGUACUGAGACACGGACCAGACUCCUACGGGAGGCAGCAGUAAGGAAUAUUGGUCAAUGGGCGCAAGCCUGAACCAGCCACGCCGCGUGAAGGAAGACGGCCCCUAUGGGUUGUAAAACUCCUUUUUCUACGGGAAUAAACCUCAGGACGUGUCCUGAGCUGAAGGUACCGUAGGAAUAAGCAUCGGCUAACUCCGUGCCAGCAGCCGCGGUAAUACGGAGGAUGCAAGCGUUAUCCGGAUUUAUUGGGUUUAAAGGGUGCGUAGGUGGGAUAGUAAGUCAGAGGUGAAAGCUAGCAGCUUAACUGUUAAAUUGCCUUUGAUACUGCUGUUCUUGAGUGUAGUUGGAGUUGGCGGAAUGUGACAUGUAGCGGUGAAAUGCGUAGAUAUGUCACAGAACACCGAUCGCGAAGGCAGCUAACUAAGCUAUCACUGACACUGAUGCACGAAAAGCGUGGGGGAGCAAACAGGAUUAGAUACCCUGGUAG